GUGCUUGCUUCAGCACAUAUACUAAGAUUAGAACUAUGCAGAGAAGAGUAACAUGGCUCCAGCACAAGUUAUCAUGAAAAUUCAUGAAGUAUUCCAUAUUUUU
rnacentral:snRNA from 1 species